UAUUUUACUGAACCAAAAAAGCCUCUGCAACUUUCUCUGUUCAUUGAAGAAUUUGAUCAACAGUUGAAGAAUUCUAUUUCCUUUCAUCGAGAAAAGAUAGAAAAACAGAGUUGGGUUUUGUUCCGAUUUUUAGGACGAUAGUGGAACUGCUUCAGGAAAUAGAUGCAAUUGGGGUGAUGCUUUAGAUUUUUCAUAUUGAUUUAGCGGAUGCUUCAAUUCGCAAGAAGCAUAAAGGCGAGGCUUAAAUUGUGCUACUACGUAUGGCAAAACGGAAAAGCGCGUUCUUAGCUUAUGGAAAGAAUGGGUCGUCGCAAACCUCGUGAAAAAUCCAAACCCAAUCCUGAAGAAGAUGUUGAUGAUGGUGGUAAAUCGAAGUCAAAAGCGCAAAAAGUGCACGAAGCAAGGAUAAAUCAAAUAUCUCUUGAACAAGAUGAUGAGGAGGAAAUAACAAAUUUGAUGCGGUCUAGAGCAACACAAAUGAAGAAAAGAAAGCGCAAAUCUGUUGAAGAAGGAAAACCUUCGGAUCGUGCUAAGGUCAUCAUUCGGGAGCGUACGGGGGACAGAAGCAGCAAUGAUACUAAUGAUGAGUGGCAAAAAAAUCCUGAACCGGCCCGAGCAGUUGGCUCAUCCUCACAAGGCUUAGGACAAGCUACAACUGAAGUUGAAGUCGGUGAGAAAAAGGGAAAAGGACCCCCAUCCCACCUUCCUAAAAUAUAUGACAUGAUUCCAGACCGCAAGGACGGCAAACAGUGGGGUGAAGCGAGAAACCCGCAACUCUUAUUUGACUACAACCACUCUUGGGCUCGUUGGAUCCAUCAAACUUAUGCAAGACAUUUGCAUCUUGUUAUUAUAUUAUUUAUCUGUGAUCAAGUGAAUUUAAUUUAGUUUGGUGUUUUUAUAGGACCACAAGAAAACCUUCCGUGUUGGCCGCCAUAAAUCAAUGGAUAUAUGGCAUUUGGAGCUUGAGUGUGACGCUGUUCAAGCAUUAGUAAGAGCAUCUGGGUUGUAUCCCGCGGUAGAAAAUUAUGUGGCCACUGAUCAAGUCACGAUGGACUGCUUUUUGGAGAGCUUUUUUGGUGAAACUGAUACCAUGCAUUUUUCUUUUGGCGAGAUGACCACUAUCCCUGAAGAUGUACAAAGAAUACUAGGUCUUGAGGUUCUUGGAAAAGCCGUUAAGGAAGGAGAUCUCUGUAAGGACCUAGAAUGGGCCAAGAUGGCCAAGAUCUAUCAGCUGACUAAGAAGUUGUUUGGGUGGGACCAGAAAAGACUAUGGAAAAUAUCUACAAGACAGACUGUUCCCGGACAAAGACUAUCAAAUUUGUCGAUCUCGUUCGAUUGUUUGGGAAUACGAAUGACAAUGAAUUGAAUCCCCAACAAAUUCAGCAAACUGUCGCUGCUUAUCUAUUGUUCACCUUUGGCUCCUUAAUAUUCCCUGACGCUAAUGGUAGCAGGGUGCAUAUGAACAACUUACAAUACUUGGAUCCCUUGGAUAAGGUUCGUGAGUAUUCAUGAGGCACUGCUUUCUUGGCACAUUUUUUGGCAGAAAUGCGUAGAGCUUCUAAGGCGAACGCCCGUCAAUUUAAUGAGAAUUUCACUGUAAUUCAGAUCUUUCAUUGGCAUAAGUGUGGGCUUAUGAACACUUCCCAACACUGUUCACGAACUAUAAAGGAUUGAAGUUAGUACGUGAAUAUCAACCGCAACAACCUCUAGCUCAGAAAUACUUUUCAAUAAUGCCCCGAUGCCCAAUAACAAGAAACGGUUAUUCGCCAUGAGAUUGGCUUUGGACUCCGUGGCUUCCAAAAAUGUUGUGUUUGACCCAUAUAGAGAUGCCAGAGGAGUUCACUUUGCAAGGCGUGACAAUGUUCAUUUUACAACGGACCGUUAUUUCAUCCAAAAGGAUUUGUUAUGCACAACCCUCGCCGUGUAAUGCGCCAACUUGGGUACAAGCAGAAAAUUCUUACAGAUACAUAUUAUCACAAAUUCUCUCAUGACUUUCCUAAAUGCCAAGCAAAUGAGAACCAUAUUCUGGUAGUUUACGACCCAAAUCCCAUUCCUGCACACUGGAGGGAAAGGAAAGAACGAGGACUUGUGUUGGAUAGGGUUGGUUGGGAAUUGGCGGAAAACGGUUAUGAGACCGAACAAGACUUUCUCAGAGGUCAUUUGAAGUACUCGCAUCCUUAUGUUGUACGCCAGGCUACCGAAGAAGUUCCUCCACAAGCAGAACCUCCCUCCACAACUUCGGCAGAAACUACUGUACCAGGACUACAAAAGAUCCGUACGUUGUUGUGUCAGCGGAUAGGAAAUUUGUCAAAGUUCUUUAAGAAAAAGAACAAGAAAGGAAAAGUGUUUACCCAGAAAGAAAUGGAGAAAGUCGAGCAAAAGAUAGACAAAAUUGAAAAUCCAGAGGCAAAAUACUUGUGGGGAGAAAGGAAGAAGAGGGUACACAAGA